AAAGUCGUAACAAGGUUUCCGUAGGUGAACCUGCGGAAGGAUCAUUACCAAUUUAAUCCAAAUCUCAACCCAUGUGUACGAUGGUUGUUUGUCCUUGGGGUGAUGUUUUUGCUUUUUGAUAUUAUGUUGAUAUCUAACUGCAUAGAUAGUCACCCCGCCAUUGUUAACCAAAAUCCUUUUUCUUUUAUUGGAAUCUUUUGUCUUGCUUAAUUGUAUGACAACUUUUAACGGUGGAUCUCUUGGCUCGU
rnacentral:misc_RNA from 1 species